AACGAACGCUGGCGGCAGGCCUAACACAUGCAAGUCGAGCGAGGACUUCGGUCCUAGCGGCGGACGGGUGAGUAACGCGUGGGAACGUGCCCUUUGCUUCGGAUUAGCCCUGGGAAACUGGGAGUAAUACCGGAUGAGCCCUUUGGGGGAAAGAUUUAUCGGCGAAGGAUCGGCCCGCGUUGGAUUAGGUAGUUGGUGGGGUAAUGGCCUACCAAGCCGACGAUCCAUAGCUGGUUUGAGAGGAUGAUCAGCCACACUGGGACUGAGACACGGCCCAGACUCCUACGGGAGGCAGCAGUGGGGAAUCUUAGACAAUGGGGGAAACCCUGAUCUAGCCAUGCCGCGUGAGCGAUGAAGGCCUUAGGGUUGUAAAGCUCUUUCAGCUGGGAAGAUAAUGACGGUACCAGCAGAAGAAGCCCCGGCUAACUCCGUG
rnacentral:rRNA from 1 species